rnacentral:SRP_RNA from 1 species
UAUGGAGAACAACUCUGAUAAAAAGCUAUGAACCUUGUCAGGUCGGAAACGAAGCAGCAAUAAGUAGUGGAUUAUGUGGAAGUUGUUUUCCAUAGAG